GGUUGUGGCUUAGUGGUAGAGCACUUGCCUAGUAUGUGCAAGGCCCUGGGUUUGAUCCCCAGCACCA
rnacentral:tRNA from 1 species